GCUCUUGUAGCUCAGUUGGUUAGAGCACCUGUUUAGUAUGCGGGAGUUCUUGAUUUCUACUCUUAAGAAGAGCA
rfam:Ipomoea nil DNA, scaffold: scaffold3170, cultivar: Tokyo-kokei standard.